ACAAAUAAUGUGUUGUCCUUUAAGGGGAGUUAACCUUUAAGUAUUCGGUUUGCAUAUGUUAUUUAUUGUUAUUUGUAAAAUAUAAUUGGAUGAUGUCACUUCCUGUUUUGUCACUUCCUGUUGGAUCUCUUCCUGCUAGUUUCUCGGUUCAGCAUGUAAAACAAGAAGAAAGUUUUGCUCUCGUUAAAUAUUAUUGCUUCAGCUUUAAACCACAGAGACGCAAUGCCUUUUCACCACAUGUUAAUGAGGAGGUCACAGUAAAUGGUCAACCUUACUACGACUCUGUCUUCAUUGAGUUCCAACACACUGUACGAGAACACUACAAAUAAACAAACAAUAAUGUUUA